CCAAAAAACGGACUUUGGACCCUAAAAAAUUCAACUUUUGGGACCGAAAAAUUCAGAUUUUGGGGCAGAAAAAUCAACUUUGAAGACCCCAAAAAAAUGGACUUUGAGACCCUAAAAAAACCUGGAAAAAUGGAAUUUGAACCC